AACGAACGCUGGCGGCAGGCCUAACACAUGCAAGUCGAGCGCCCUUUCGGGGGAGCGGCGGACGGGUGAGUAACGCGUGGGAAUAUGCUCUUCUCUACGGAAUAGCCUCGGGAAACUGAGAGUAAUACCGUAUACGCCCUGUGGGGGAAAGAUUUAUCGGGGAAGGAUUAGCCCGCGUUGGAUUAGGUAGUUGGUGGGGUAAUGGCCUACCAAGCCGACGAUCCAUAGCUGGUUUGGGAGGAUGAUCAGCCACACUGGGACUGAGACACGGCCCAGACUCCUACGGGAGGCAGCAGUGGGGAAUCUUAGACAAUGGGGGCAACCCUGAUCUAGCCAUGCCGCGUGAGUGAUGAAGGCCUUAGGGUUGUAAAGCUCUUUCAGCUGGGAAGAUAAUGACGGUACCUGCAGAAGAAGCCCCGGCUAACUCCGUG
rnacentral:rRNA from 1 species